UACGAAGGGGGCUAGCGUUGCUCGGAAUUACUGGGCGUAAAGGGCGCGUAGGCGGAUAGUUUAGUCAGAGGUGAAAGCCCAGGGCUCAACCUUGGAACUGCCCUUGAUACUGGCUAUCUUGAGUUCGGGAGAGGUGAGUGGAAUGCCGAGUGUAGAGGUGAAAUUCGUAGAUAUUCGGCGGAACACCAGUGGCGAAGGCGACUCACUGGCCCGAUACUGACGCUGAGGCGCGAAAGCGUGGGGAGCAAACAGG
rnacentral:rRNA from 1 species